rnacentral:lncRNA from 1 species
UGCCUGUGGUAACUGGACACUGUGGAGACACAGGUCAUCGCUGAGUCUUCUCUGUGUAACUCUGAAGCAAUGCUCAAGGUGAAGAUUGAGCAAACUGAGUUUAAGAUGGAGGGAUCUGAAUCUCACUGUUCUGGCCAGGGUUAGGAUAGGCUGUUCUGUUUUGUGUGUUUUUGAGGAGGAUUUUGGCCAAGAUCUGAGCAUGGUAUUUUCAACAAGGUUGUGGAAAGGUAUGUUCUCAACUGUUUAUUGUCAGUAAAUGCAGGUUUUCUGUUUGUUCAGGUCUGGACUCAUAUAGAUGUGUUCAAAUGAUGAGAACAAAUCUUUCUUAAUGCAGGUGUGGACUCCAUCUGUGAUGUUACUCAGGAUGCUGUAUGUAACGGCACCCUAGGACUACCUGUGUACCUACAGCUGAUUAGGGACGCCACAGGACACGAACUGAAGUUAUUCAGUGGAGAUAAGAAUGUUUUUACAUCCAAAUCCUCCAAGACAGUGUUCUUUAACGAGUUCAACAACCCAUCAUACCUCCAGAGGUGGCAGUUUGUUCGUGAUAACGGGACCUUGAUUAUUAACCCUGCAGAGAAGAGAGACGCAGGAACAUACAGAGUGGAGAUCUAUGAGGAGUCAACAGGGAGGAGUGUGGGAGAUCACACAGUUCAGCUGAUCCUUCAAGGUACCUCCACUGUGUCUGUCAAACCAACUAACCAGACUAACACGACUCUUCCCUCUACCCACCCAGGUCCCUCAGUGACGGUAAUAGUUAUUUGUGUGUUAUUAUCCCUGACUGUGUGUCUGUGUGUCGCUGUGGGGACGUUCUACAUCAGAAUGAAAAAGAGGAAUACACACACUCCAGGUACAAGAGUGGAAACAGAGGAUGUGGUGUAUUCUGGCGUUGCCAUGGCAAAUAGGAGCAGCAGGCAUAACAGCAGGAAGCCACCAGCAGGUGAGUCUCUGAAAGAGGGACUUUAUUCACACACACACACUUACACAAACACAUACACAC